rnacentral:lncRNA from 1 species
UGGUCGAUCAUUGUGAAGUUGCAUAUAUUUAUAUCGUUGUAUUCCUUUUGUUUGUGUUAACCAAUUGUCGUUCGGAAUUAUUUUUUAUACAUCAUUUAUUGAUCUUGCAAUUUCUUGUAAUAUGGUCACUUGUUGAAAUGUGUCUCUCUUUAUAUUCAACUCAGAACUUUAUUCAAGACAGGCUAUUGACAAACUUUUAACUGGACAAUGAAUAAAAGAUGACAAACUAAGUCCAAAAAUAUUAUCGUACACUUGGUCUUCCUCAUUGUAAUGAUCACACAAG